rnacentral:rRNA from 1 species
UACGUAGGAGGCGAGCGUUGUCCGGAAUCACUGGGCGUAAAGCGCGUGUAGGCGGAUGACUAAGUUUGCUGUGAAAGCGCCUGGCUUAACCGGGCGAGGUCGGCGAAAACUAGUCGUCUGGAGGCCGGUAGAGGGGGGUGGAAUUCCGGGUGUAGUGGUGAAAUGCGUAGAUAUCCGGAGGAACACCGGUGGCGAAGGCGGCUUCCUGGACCGAUUACUGACGCUGAGGUGCGAAAGCGUGGGGAGCAAACAGG